GUUGGGUAACACUAACUGGAGGACCGAACCCACUGUCGUUGAAAAGCCAGGGGAUGACUUGUGGAUAGGGGUGAAAGGCUAAUCAAGCCUGGUGAUAGCUGGUUCUCCCCGAAAGCUAUUUAGGUAGCGCCUCGGACGAAUACCAUAGGGGGUAGAGCACUGUUUCGGCUAGGGGGUCAUCCCGACUUACCAAACCGAUGCAAACUCCGAAUACCUAUGAGUACUAUCCGGGAGACAGACUGCGGGUGCUAACGU
rnacentral:rRNA from 1 species